ACUUAGUUGGUAAAGCACAAGGCUCUUAACCUUGUGGACGUGGGUUCAAGCCCCAU
rfam:Triticum urartu cultivar G1812 contig854936, whole genome shotgun sequence.